UGCGCAGGCGGACAAAUGUGUCAGGUGUGAAAUCCCGGAGCUUAACUCCGGAACUGCGCCUGAAACUGUUUGUCUAGAGUCUCGGAGAGGUAAGCGGAAUUCCAGGUGUAGCAGUGAAAUGCGUAGAUAUCUGGAGGAAGGCCAAUUGCGAAGGCAGCUUACUGGACGAGUACUGACGCUCAGGCACGAAAGCGUGGGGAGCGAAAG
rnacentral:rRNA from 1 species